UAGAUUUUAUUUAUUUAAAUUUAAUAAAUUUUGAUUUUAAAUUUUUUAAAAAUAAUUAUAUUUUAAAAUUAUUUAUUAGUAAUGUAUAUUGAAAUAAUAAAUAAUAAUAAUAGUUGACUUGUAUUGUAAAAGAUUAUUGAAAUAAUUUGAAAAAUAAUUAAUUUUUAAGAAAUUUUUGUUUAAUGUACCUUGUGUAUCAGGGUUAAUUAAAUAAAGAAUAAAUAAAUUAUUUUUCUCGAAAUUAAGAGAUUUAUAAAUUUAUUUUAGUUAAUGUUUUAUAAUUAUUAAUAAUAAAUUUAUAGAAAUGAAACGUUAUUCGUUCUUAUUGAUAUCUAGUUUUUUAAGAAAUAAAUUUAAUUUAUAUAUUAUUUAAUUUAAUUUUAUUUUUGUUUAUAAAAUUAAUUUAUAAUAUAAAUAUUUUUAGGGAUAAGCUUAAAAGUAAAUUAUUAAAAAUAAAAUAAAAUUUUAAAUAAAUUUAAGCUUAGAAAUAGCUAUUAUUUAUAAUUAUGUUAUAAUUUAUUUUUUAUAAUAAUAUAAUUUUCUUUAUUUUUAAAUUUUUAUUAAAAAAUUAAUAUAAAUUGAAAAUAUUAAGGUAUAAUGAUUAAAUUAGUAUAAAAAAUUAUGUAAAUAAUUUUGUUUAAAAGAUUUUUAUAAGUAAUUCGGCAACAAUAAUAUUUGCCUGUUUAUCAAAAACAUGUCUUUUUGAAUUUAAUUUAAAGUCGGACCUGCCCAUUGAAAAAUUUAAAAGGCCGCGGUAUUUUGACCGUGCAAAGGUAGCAUAAUAAUUAGUUUUUUAAUUGAAAACUUGUAUGAAGGGUUUGACAAAAUAUUUUCUGUCUCAUAAAAUUUUUAUUAAAAGUUUACUUUUUAGUUAAAAGGCUAAAAUUAUUUUAAAGGACGAGAAGACCCUAUAGAACUUUAUAUUUUAAUUAUUUAAUUUAUAAAGAAUAUUUAAGAUUUUAUAAUAUAAAUUAUUUUAUUGGGGUGAUAGUAAGAUUUUAUAAUCUCUUAUUAAUUUUUUUACAAUAAUUUUUGGCUUGUUGAUCCAAUUAUAUUGAUUAAAAAUUUAAGUUACCUUAGGGAUAACAGCGUAAUUUUUUUUACGAGUUCUUAUCAACAAAAAAGAUUGCGACCUCGAUGUUGGAUUAAGAAUAAAGUUGGGUGUAGAUGUUCAAAUUUUAGGUCUGUUCGACCUUUAAAUUCUUACAUGAUCUGAGUUCAAACCGGUGUAAGCCAGGUUGGUUUCUAUCCUUAAUAAUUUUUUAUAUUUUAGUACGAAAGGACCAAAUAUUAAUAAUAUUAAUUUUUAUUUAGUUGAAUUUUAUUAAUUUAUAG
rnacentral:rRNA from 1 species